rnacentral:tRNA from 4 species
GCGCUUGUGGCGAAAUUGGUAGACGCGCUGUCUUCAGGCGGCAGUUCCGAAAGGUGUGAGAGUUCGAGUCUCUCCGAGCGCACCA